rnacentral:rRNA from 1 species
UAGGGAAUCUUCCACAAUGGACGCAAGUCUGAUGGAGCAACGCCGCGUGAGUGAAGAAGGUCUUCGGAUUGUAAAGCUCUGUCUUUUGGGACGAUAAUGACGGUACCAAAGGAGGAAGCCACGGCUAACUACGUGCCAGCAGCCGCGGUAAUACGUAGGUGGCGAGCGUUGUCCGGAUUUACUGGGCGUAAAGGGUGCGUAGGCGGAUGUUUAAGUGAGAUGUGAAAUACCCGGGCUUAACUUGGGUGCUGCAUUUCAAACUGGAUAUCUAGAGUGCAGGAGAGGAGAAUGGAAUUCCUAGUGUAGCGGUGAAAUGCGUAGAGAUUAGGAAGAACACCAGUGGCGAAGGCGAUUCUCUGGGCUGUAACUGACGCUGAGGCACGAAAGCGUGGGUAGCAAACAGGAUUAGAUACCCUGGUAGUCCACGCCGUAAACGAUGAGUACUAGGUGUAGGAGGUAUCGACCCCUUCUGUGCCGCAGUAAACACAUUAAGUACUCCGCCUGGGAAGUACGAUCGCAAGAUUAAAAC